GAUGAACGCUGGCGGCGUGCUUAACACAUGCAAGUCGAACGAACCUUCGGGUUAGUGGCGGACGGGUGAGUAACGCGUGGGAAUCUGCCCUCAGGAGGGGGAUAACGGUUGGAAACGACCGCUAAUACCCCAUAUGCCGAGAGGUGAAAUGAAUUUCGCCUGAGGAUGAGCCCGCGUCUGAUUAGCUAGUUGGUGGGGUAAUGGCCCACCAAGGCGACGAUCAGUAGCUGGUCUGAGAGGAUGAUCAGCCACACUGGGACUGAGACACGGCCCAGACUCCUACGGGAGGCAGCAGUGGGGAAUUUUCCGCAAUGGGCGAAAGCCUGACGGAGCAACGCCGCGUGAGGGAUGAAGGCCUCUGGGCUGUAAACCUCUUUUCUCAAGGAAGAAGACAUGACGGUACUUGAGGAAUAAGCCACGGCUAAUUCCGUGCCAGCAGCCGCGGUAAUACGGGAGUGGCAAGCGUUAUCCGGAAUUAUUGGGCGUAAAGCGUCCGCAGGCGGCCUUGUAAGUCUGUCGUUAAAGCGUGGAGCUUAACUCCAUUUCAGCGAUGGAAACUACAAGGCUUGAGUGUGGUAGGGGCAGAGGGAAUUCCCGGUGUAGCGGUGAAAUGCGUAGAUAUCGGGAAGAACACCAGUGGCGAAGGCGCUCUGCUGGGCCAUAACUGACGCUCAUGGACGAAAGCCAGGGGAGCGAAAGGGAUUAGAUACCCCUGUAGUCCUGGCCGUAAACGAUGAACACUAGGUGUCGGGGGAAUCGACCCCCUCGGUGUCGUAGCUAACGCGUUAAGUGUUCCGCCUGGGGAGUACGCACGCAAGUGUGAAACUCAAAGGAAUUGACGGGGGCCCGCACAAGCGGUGGAGUAUGUGGUUUAAUUCGAUGCAACGCGAAGAACCUUACCAGGGUUUGACAUCCUGCGAAUCCCUUGGAAACGAGGGAGUGCCUUCGGGAGCGCAGAGACAGGUGGUGCAUGGCUGUCGUCAGCUCGUGUCGUGAGAUGUUGGGUUAAGUCCCGCAACGAGCGCAACCCACGUCUUUAGUUGCCAGCAUUUAGUUGGGCACUCUAGAGAGACCGCCGGUGAUAAACCGGAGGAAGGUGUGGAUGACGUCAAGUCAUCAUGCCCCUUACAUCCUGGGCUACACACGUACUACAAUGCUACGGACAAAGGGUUGCAAGCUCGCGAGAGUUAGCUAAUCCCAUAAACCGUGGCUCAGUUCAGAUCGUAGGCUGCAACUCGCCUACGUGAAGGAGGAAUCGCUAGUAAUCGCAGGUCAGCAUACUGCGGUGAAUACGUUCCCGGGCCUUGUACACACCGCCCGUCACACCAUGGAAGUUGGCCAUGCCCGAAGUCGUUACUCCAACCCUUGUGGAGGAGGACGCCGAAGGUGGGGCUGAUGACUGGGGUGAAGUCGUAACAAGGUAGCCGUACCGGAAGGUGCGGCUGGAUCACCUCCU
rnacentral:rRNA from 1 species